rnacentral:rRNA from 1 species
GCUUCUGAAGAAUCAUUUGAGGUACUUAGUGGCGGACGGGUGAGUAACGCGUGGGUAACCUGCCUCACACUGGGGGAUAGCAGUUGGAAACGACUGAUAAUACCGCAUAAGCGCACAGUAUCGCAUGAUACAGUGUGAAAAACUCCGGUGGUGUGAGAUGGACCCGCGUCUGAUUAGCCAGUUGGCGGGGUAACGGCCCACCAAAGCUACGAUCAGUAGCCGGCCUGAGAGGGUGUACGGCCACAUUGGGACUGAGACACGGCCCAAACUCCUACGGGAGGCAGCAGUGGGGAAUAUUGCACAAUGGGGGAAACCCUGAUGCAGCGACGCCGCGUGAGUGAUGAAGUAUUUCGGUAUGUAAAACUCUAUCAGCAGGGAAGAUAAUGACGGUACCUGACUAAGAAGCACCGGCUAAAUACGUGCCAGCAGCCGCGGUAAUACGUAUGGUGCAAGCGUUAUCCGGAUUUACUGGGUGUAAAGGGUGCGUAGGUGGUUGCGCAAGUCAGAAGUGAAAACUAUGGGCUCAACCCAUAGACUGCUUUUGAACUGCGUAACUAGAGUGCAGGAGAGGAAAGUGGAAUUCCUAGUGUAGCGGUGAAAUGCGUAGAUAUUAGGAGGAACACCAGUGGCGAAGGCGGCUUUCUGGACUGCAACUGACACUGAGGCACGA